GCGGAGCGCGGCGGGGCGGGGCCUUCUUUCGGUAGCAGCGGUACGCCGGGUAUGCGGAUGCCCCCAGAGGUAGAUGGGUCUAUUUACAGCGGGGGAAACUGCCCCAGCCCGCCGCAGAUCCAGUUCCAGCUCUGGAUCUGGCCGGGCCAGAUCCCAGCCCCGAGUCCCCCUGCGCCCUAGGAGCGCGCGGCGGACCCGGAGUCUGGGCUCAGUGCCCUGAGGGCCCCAGUCCCCCGCGCGCGCCCGCGGAGCUGCACGCCUUGCACGAUCCUCUCCACCCAGGAGCGGUGAGCUGAGAGGCUGAUGUAGACGCCGGGCCUGUUGCGCUCGGCACAGCCCUCACCCCAACUGAUGAUGCCGGCCAGCAGCCAGGCGCCGUCCACCUGGCACAUGAGGGGGCCCCCGGAGUCGCCCUGCAGAGAGGAUGAGAGAUGGUUAGAGCCUUUCCUGUCUCAGACUCUGCACUGCUUCAUCCAGCACCAGGACUGUUAGAGAAAAAGUGUUCGGGCCCCUCCCGACGGGGCAUUUCCUGGGGCCCUGCCCUCCCGCAGCUUCCCGUCCAGCCUGUCUGCCGGCGACCAGGACCAGAUCCUCCGAGGGAGGCACAGACCUGAGCCCCUCCGGCCUGGACGCUGCUGCCGCUGGUGCCCUCCCCGUAACCUCCUGCCCCAGGAACAAAACGAAACGGUGCUGCCCCAGAGGCAAGGGAGGAGAAGAUGGGAGAACACGGAGACGUAGAAGAAACCGAGGCACCAAGCAGUUAAGGAGCCAGAGAUAAACGGAGAGCAGAAGCAGAGAUGAGAGACCAGGAGGGGAGGGAGGGAGGAGGAGGGAGCAGGAGGGAGGGAGGAGGGAGGCGCAGCCUCCGAGGUACCUGUCCACGAGGUACCUGUCCACGCCAGCAGCAGCAGCAGGGAGGUGAAGAUGCCGAGACGGCCCCCACCCAGGGCUGGGGGGGCUCCAGAAACCACCAUGGCUGGUGGGGCGGGGGUGCAGGCAGCAGGCUCGAGGGACCCAGGGCGAUGCGGGUCAGGGUGUGUAGGUUCUCUGCAGGUCGCCCCAGGUUUUAUCCCAGGAGGCGGAAUGCCGUCAGACCAGUCCCCAGGUGGCUCCCUCGGCCACCCCCACCCCGGCUGUGGGUCAUGGGCAGGGGGCGGGGCUUCGGGGAGGAAGCCAGCCGCUACAGGGCUGGGGCCUGGGCGGGGGGUGCAGGGGGGUCUCUAGCUGAGACCCCAGGUUCCAGCUGUGGGUGCAGCCUGUGGCCUCUGGAGGGCAGGGGAGAGAGCCUGGACCCAGUGGUCCUAACAUUGACUGUCGGGGCAGAGGCAGGUCCCAGGGCACUGAAAGGGAGGGGUUCCAGGCUGGGGAUGGCUCUUGGGUCUGGAGUGGCUGAAUUCUGGGGAACUGGGUGUUGGGGGGUCCUAGGGCCUUAGGGAUCAAGGAGGUGCGGGAGGCUCAGUAAACGGCUCCCACCAGCAGGGGGCUGGGCCCCUGUGACUCAGCCCAGAGACCUGGCCCAACCCAGGGCUCGGAAAUCCCGUUAACCCACUUCCCAAAAGCUGUGAAUCAGGUGAGUGGCGACCUAGGUGGCCUCCUGGUGGCUGCCCUCCCGUCAUUCCUGAGGGUGGGGCUUGGCCCUGCCAUUCAGACACCUGACGACUCACCUCUCACCUGAACUCCCAGGAAGCGGAGGACCCAUGGGCACCAGGGCUGGGUCAAUGGGGGGGGGGUUGGGAAAGGAGUGACCCCUGGAAGGGCUGGGACUCCCCAGAGCCAAAGAGCAGCUGGGCUGAGUUGGGCUGUGCCGGUUCGGGUCCUGGGCUGGGAGUGGAUUCUUGGUGCUUCCACCCAGCGGCGGCAAUGGCAACCUGAGGCUGGAUCCUGUGAGACCUUCCCUGACUCGGUGCCCCACAGUCCCACGCAGUGCCCCACACUUGGGACACUCCCACGCAGCAGAGCAGGCUUCCUCCUCCACAGAGGCAGGAGCCUGCACCCCUUCACUCAUUUCAUCAACAAGCCUCCAGCAGGGCCCUUGCUAUGGCGGGGGGUGGAUGAAAAGCAACCAUAGCAGUGAAAGUGUAUGUAAUCAAUGUAUUUAUACAGAUACCAAUAUAAGAUUUAUAUAAUAGAGCAAACAUUUAGGAGUGCCAUGAAUCGCCUCACCUAAUCCUCAAAUUUCCUUACUAUUCCCACUUUGCAGAUGAGGAAACUGAGGCAGCCUAGAGUGGUUAAGUGACUCACCUGAGAUACUCCACUGCUGGGUGAGUGGUGGAGCCGGACUUGCACCCCGACUCUGGGGAUGGUUGCUGGGACUGCUGCCCCCCCCCCCCCCGCCGGGGGGCUUUCGGAGCCUGGAGGAGGAGGUGCCUCACCCUACCCAGGGUGUGCCUGACCUUGCUCCCAGCCGAGUCACGGUGGCAGGGGUCGGGGUCUGGCAGACCACCACAGCUACUUCAGGGUCUCCACGCUCUGAGCAGGAUGCGAUUUGCCCUGAGGGAGGACUCUUCGCUGCCCACCGCCUCAGUCUGUUAAGGGUAAGGGUGGCAGCGGGACAAUUAUUUUGUUCUCCUGGCAGAGAGGCCAUGCCCUGCCCCACCCACAGACAAGUCAAAAAGCAGGGCCUUCGGGAGCCCCAGAGGAUAUGUUAUUCUCUGUCCCACAACUCAGAGGGGGUUUGGGGGAACUGCAGGAAAAGACAACACAGAGUGGCAGAGGCGAGGGGCCGCGUCUCUGAGCAGCAGCAGCCCUGGAGCAGAAAUGUGAGUUGGGCACCCCCACCCUACUCACUAUCCCCAGCUCAGCGCUGCACCCAGUGUGGCCAGGGCCCUCCUGCUCCCCACCCCACUGCCUUCUGAAGUAAGGUGGGUGGCCUCCCCAGUUCACUCUGCAAAUAUGUAUUGAGCACCUGCUGUGUGCCAGGCCCUGCUGGGCACCAGGACAUACGUGAUGAAUAACACACAGGCCCUGUGCUCCGGAAGCACAUGUCCUCCUGGGGGUGGGAGGCAGGUGACAGAUGACAGUGAGGUGUUCAGGAGGUGGGCGGUAGCUUGGACCCUGGAGGGCCACUGUGAAGCUGGGUGCUGGGGGAACAGUGUGGGUGAUGGGGGGCUCCCUGUGGACUCCCAGGAUCGUGGUCAGUGCCUGCUGCACCCUGGGGCUCAGCGGAUGUUUGUUGAAUGAAUAAAUGAAUGUGGAAGAGGUGAGUCUGCAAGUGGCUGGGGAUCGAACGCUCUGGCCUCCCUCUCUGCCUCCCACUCGGGUUUCCUCUCCAUUCCAGCUUUUCUACCUUUCUGAACACCUGACUCACUGCCCUGGAGACCCAAGAGUAGCCGUGGGCCCUGCCCGAGAUGUCACUGUCCCCGAGAUGGGGUGGCCAGGAAGACCGCCCUGAGGAGAAGGGCCCAGGAGGAGCAGGGGGAAGCCCUGAGGUCCUGGGUGAAGAUUUCCUGGCACAAGUCCUGGGGAAAGGCCCCAGAGACCAGUUCCCCAAUAACUAGAGUGUAGAGGGUGGAGUCUCUGAAACGCCACAGGGCAGAGACCCUGGCAUGAUUCAACGUUCACUCAACAAAAUAUUUACUGAGUGCCUGCCAAUGCCAGACCCACACGCUGGCCGGCAUCCCUGCCUGUGCAAGAGUCAGAUGAGCUGCAUGCCCCUGCCACCCACUACCCGCUCCCUGCCAGCCUGGCCUCAGGGUCUCUGAUCCAUGUGCACUGGGGUGGUGAUAACUGACAGGGCCACUGGGGCAUUUCUGUGCUAAUAGCAGCUACCACUGGUGAAAGAAGUGACUCACCAAUGGUGGCAUCUCAGAUGUGGGCCCAGGAGUCCGGGGAGCUGCUUUUUUUUUC